rnacentral:rRNA from 1 species
GUAGGGAAUAUUGGGCAAUGGAUGCAAGUCUGACCCAGCCAUGCCGCGUGGAGGAAGAAGGUCCUCUGGAUUGUAAACUCCUUUUUUGGGGGAAGAAUAGUUCUCUUGCGAGGGAAUGUGACGGUACCCUAAGAAUAAGCCACGGCUAACUACGUGCCAGCAGCCGCGGUAAUACGUAGGUGGCAAGCGUUGUCCGGAUUUAUUGGGUUUAAAGGGUGCGUAGGUGGUUUGAUAAGUCAGUGGUGAAAGCUGGUUGCUCAACAAUCAAGUUGCCAUUGAUACUGUCGGACUUGAGAGAAGUGGAGGUUCAUGGAAUGGAUGGUGUAGCGGUGAAAUGCAUAGAUAUCAUCCAGAACGUCGAUUGCGAAGGCAGUGGGCUGUACUUUAUCUGACACUGAGGCACGAAAGUGUGGGGAUCAAACAGGAUUAGAAACCCGAGUAGUCC